GACGAACGCUGGCGGCGUGCUUAACACAUGCAAGUCGAACGGAAAGGCCCUGCUUGCAGGGUACUCGAGUGGCGAACGGGUGAGUAACACGUGGGUGAUCUGCCCUGCACUUCGGGAUAAGCCUGGGAAACUGGGUCUAAUACCGGAUAGGAGCCAUUUUUAGUGUGAUGGUUGGAAAGUUUUUUCGGUGUAGGAUGAGCUCGCGGCCUAUCAGCUUGUUGGUGGGGUAAUGGCCUACCAAGGCGGCGACGGGUAGCCGGCCUGAGAGGGUGGACGGCCACAUUGGGACUGAGAUACGGCACAGACUCCUACGGGAGGCAGCAGGGGGGAAUAUUGCACAAUGGGCGCAAGCCUGAUGCAGCGACGCCGCGUGGGGGAUGACGGCCUUCGGGUUGUAAACUCCUUUCGCUAGGGACGAAGCUUUUUGUGACGGUACCUAGAUAAGAAGCACCGGCUAACUACGUG
rnacentral:rRNA from 1 species